rnacentral:rRNA from 1 species
AUACGUAGGGAGCAAGCGUUGUCCGGAUUUACUGGGUGUAAAGGGUGCGUAGGCGGGAAAUCAAGUCAGGCGUGAAAACUAUGGGCUCAACCCAUAGCCUGCGUUUGAAACUGGUUUUCUUGAGUGAAGCAGAGGUAGGCGGAAUUCCCGGUGUAGCGGUGAAAUGCGUAGAGAUCGGGAGGAACACCAGUGGCGAAGGCGGCCUACUGGGCUUUAACUGACGCUGAGGCACGAAAGCGUGGGUAGC